UACGAAGGGGGCUAGCGUUACUCGGAUUGACUGGGCGUAAAGGGCGCGUAGGCGGUUUGUACAGUCAGACGUGAAAUCCCCAGGCUCAACUUGGGAACUGCAUCCGAUACUGGAUGGCUUGAAUUCGGGAGAGGGAUGCAGAAUUCCAGGUGUAGCGGUGAAAUGCGUAGAUAUCUGGAGGAAUACCGGUGGCGAAGGCGGCAUCCUGGACCGACAUUGACGCUGAGGAGCGAAAGCUAGGGGAGCAAACGGGG
rnacentral:rRNA from 1 species